rnacentral:lncRNA from 1 species
ACAAAUGGAAAACCCAAAACGAAGAAGGUUGCACAUAUUGGAGUUAUGCACGAAACCCUAAUUCAUAUGAAGAAGAAAUCCUACAUGGAAAUGACGUGGAUGUACACAAUGUCACAUUUAAUAUUGUUAUUGUGUUUUGUAUGCAAAGGAUAAACAUGGUACAUUGAAUACGAUUGAGGGAAGAAAAUGAGCCUUUUAAAAAUUAAGGGACCAAACUGAACCAAACACUGAACAUCCGGGACGAAAAAGGCUAUUUUUCCAAAAUGUUAUAAGUU